AUUGAACGCUGGCGGAAUGCUUUACACAUGCAAGUCGAGCGGCAGCGCGGCCUUCGGGCUGGCGGCGAGCGGCGAACGGGUGAGUAAUGCAUCGGAACAUGCCCAGUCGUGGGGGAUAACACUUCGAAAGAAGUGCUAAUACCGCAUACGCCCUGAGGGGGAAAGCGGGGGAUCGCAAGACCUCGCGCGAUUGGAGUGGCCGAUGUCAGAUUAGCUAGUUGGUGGGGUAAAGGCCUACCAAGGCGACGAUCCGUAGCUGGUCUGAGAGGAUGAUCAGCCACACUGGGACUGAGACACGGCCCAGACUCCUACGGGAGGCAGCAGUGGGGAAUUUUGGACAAUGGGGGCAACCCUGAUCCAGCCAUUCCGCGUGAGUGAAGAAGGCCUUCGGGUUGUAAAGCUCUUUCGGCAGGAACGAAACGGUGGGCUCUAACAUAGUCCGCUAAUGACGGUACCUGAAGAAGAAGCACCGGCUAACUACGUG
rnacentral:rRNA from 1 species